ACCGUACUUAUAAUAGAUAGCAGCAAAUUAGUGCUCCGGCAGAAAAUGUAUCAACUCUGGUUAACGCACCAUAAUGCGGAUCGAUUCUGAACGGCUGACAGAUGCACGGCGGAGGACGAAUCGGCGAACGAGGUGUUUAGCGAUGAGGGUACUCGGCAACUCUCAUGAUCUACUUAUUACGACAAUUUUAAGGUUGAGAUACCAAGAUGGCAAGGAACCUCGCGAUUCGAAAUAUCAGGAUACUCUUAUAAGUAAACUCAGUAUCAGCAGAUUACUAGGACCCCGAAGCCCGACGCGCGUCUUAUCUCGCUCGACGCUCGUUUUAACUGUCCUUUCUGGAGUGCUGUUGUUUGAUUUGUUCACGGGUGGGCCCUGUGUAAGGCUACUGAUUCCUCUUGUGGAUUAUGCACUCCCCGUGCUGAACGAGCCCGACUUUGGAAGGAGCGUGGAGGAGCUGGUCCGAAGUCGUGGCUUCGAAUUCGAGACGCACGAAGUGACGACCAAAGAUGGAUACAUUAUAGAAAUGCAUCGAGUGUAUCACAAAAAAUUCAGCAACAGCGUCCGGCCUGCGCUGAUGCUCGGAUUACCGCUCUUCUGUACUUCAGCGAUAACGGUCGUUGACUACAGGAACAACACAGCUGCAUAUCUGUUUGCAGAUGCCGGGUAUGAUGUUUGGCUGAUGAACGUACGAGGUAAUCGAUUUGGUAGAAGGCACGUUUUUCUCGAUCCUGUCAAGGACAAGCUUGCCUUCUACGAUUUUACCCACCUCGAUAUAGCAGAAUUCGACUUUCCUAUGCAAAUCGACUACGUCAUACAAUAUACUGGACAAACAAAGGUAUAUUUGACCGGUGUUUCUCAGGGGGCAGCCGCUGCAUUCGCCCUACUCUCGAAACGGCCAGAAUAUAAUUCAAAGGUCCACGCCAUUGCAUCGUACGGCGGGUUUCGGAGUCUUUGCUUCUCCAGCAAUGUUGGAGUUGUCGUGUUCUCCAAACUAGCAUGGCCCUUAUCGGAUUUGCUGCUGAAUAUCGAAUAUCUGGCAGCCCUCUUUCUCUCUUUCUCACCAGUAGGCCGUCUAUGUGCGAGAGCUGGCAACUUCUGCGGGACGCUUAUGACGUACGUGGGCUUCAAAUCGGACCAUUAUUUCAAUGUUUCGCGGUUCGCGUUAUAUUUGGAACAUGUUCCCGCUGGCACAUCACUCAAGACAUUUGUCUACUAUGCUCAGACGCGACAAACCGGGUGUGAUGGUUCAGUGCGUGAUUAUGAUUAUGAUCAGGGUGCGCUCACGUCCCUUCUUAUCUCGCUCGGCUGGAAAGAGUCGAUGAACGUAAAGAAGUAUGGAACCCCUGAACCGCCGUUGUUGGACGCCAAAAAUAUCCAAGUUCCAAUUAAAAUCUACUACAGCGAUGGAGACGACUUCGUGCCGUUUAAGGAGGUGCAGAGAAUGGCGAAAGAUAUAGGCAUUCCCUCGUCGAACCUGCAUCGAAUCGCCGACGAUCGUUUUUCACACGUCAAUUUCGUGUUCAAUAAAGACCGAAAAGACUUCAUUGUUCACGCGAUCGACUUCUUUCAAGGAGGAAACGCCUCGUGGCCGGAAGACCUAGAAAAACUUCGAGCAUAAAACCGAUCUAUACGAAAUCGGUUCUUCCUCUAGCAAGGGUAUUUGACGGAUGUGUUCUCAGUGCGGAAAGCGUCGAUCGAAACACUCCGUAAAAGUGAUUACGAUGACCCGUGCUUCCAGUAGCACGGUUUGCAAUAUUACACAUAUUGUUACAAUUAACUACGACGUUCUCGCGUUUAGCCACGAAUUACAAGCUUUACACCCUGCAAAACAUAAGGCACAAUUAACUACGUAAUAGAAGCUCCCACAAUGUGUGCCGUUUCCCAAUAUAACCUAAUGAGACUAGCCGGUGUAGAGUCACCCUGAAAUAAUCAAGAUCAAUGAAAACAACGAUGAUGCAUGGUAAAUCGGUUGACGAAAGCCAUGUGAAUGCUCAGGAAACUCCGAUAAAAGAUUCUCAUGAUCAGUUAGGUAGUUUGGUCAACUGAUCUUACCCACGGAGUGUCGAAACAAGCAAAUAAAGGGACGCGACAUAAAACAUGGCUUCAACGUCGCGUCUAAAACCGUUGCUAAUUAAAUGUCCUAAAAAGAGCUUGGUUGUCGGCAUUUAAAAUCGCUACUCAGUGUAAAUUUGUAUUUUAUGUUGCCAGUGCUGGCUCUAUAGUCGUCGUCAUCAUUUAACAACAGGAAUCAAUGCACUAUUCCUCCUGUGCAAAAUCAGUCCUAUCACUAUAAUCAUAUCAAUCCAUGUAUAGAUCAAUUUUAUAGUGAGGGUAUAGCACGGAUUCAUCUUAGGCUCAUCUUGUCGUAAGUUAGUUCAACUUUCAGUAACGUUGACCCAAACAACAUCACUAACAGUGACGUUGCAAUAAUUAACAGUAAAUAUAGGACUAUUCCCCCUGUGGAAAAUUCGAAUCAAUACAUCAUUACUAUAGGCGAUAAAAUAAAUGCUGAAUAUGGUUUCUUUUCCUACAUAACGUAACGGUACAUCGAUGUCAAAGUAUUAGAAUUAAAUUCUAUCUAACUUCGGGUACUUCAGACACCGUGCAGAUAAACAACGCUAUCAUUUAUAUAUUUAGUCUGCUCCGAAGUAAAGUAAGUCUGCACUCAAACGUUAUUCAAAACGAAACAAAGAAGUCAGGGAGUCAAUGUACUAGAUAAAUCUAGUAGUUUUAUAGCUUUAUAAUAUGGAAUCUUUGUGUCACUCAAAUACAAUUUGCAAACGACAUAUAUCUUUUAGCUGCGAGGGCAGAUCAUUACCUGAAAGCUCAUUUGACUGGAGUAUUAGCCGAAAGCAGCCACUGGCUCAGGAUAACUUUAUGCUAUUCGUAGGAAAAAACUGAGAUAUUAGGUCAUACGAAGGCCAAGACAUGGAAAGGACAGGAGAAAAUGUCGACUACUUAGAACUCACAAUUAGGUAAAAACAGUCAAAUCGCAAAUACUUUAUAUAACUGAAGGCCUAAUUAAAAGCGUAUCCAAAACAGGUCAGCUCUAUCCAGCGUAUUCUUCUGUUCGCUAGAUUCACCACAUCCUUAACCCAAACCACACACGUCCUUAACCCAAUUGCAACUUUUUUACACGUCGUUUCCUGUCUGGAAUAUCUAGAAACUACUGGAAAAUGUACUUUAUUUCUAUGAUAUCGGCCACAAAUCAAACAGCCAGAAACUGUUUGGAAAACUACCAGGUUCUCACUUCAACCUUCAAGGAAACUUCGGCCUAAGCGUCAAUAGAGUUAAUUUCAAGGACCGAAUUAUGAAUAUAAAAAAGAUCAUCAAAAAAUCCUCAGCAUACUGGGAAUGCAAUCAAUUCAAAUAAAAAAGAGAACCAAACAUUACUACAAUAUGUACCAGAGGCUCGGCAAACGGUAACUUUUAGUUAAUAGUAUUGAUAGAAGAAUAUACUGCGUAUUAUAAUUUAAUCGUGUAUCCAUCUAAAUUCAGAAGCCCAAUGUAUAUAUAGUGUAUAUGUAGGAAAAUAACUGUGAGGUCUACGACUCACCUUAUUCAGAGAUGGGUGUUCGCCUUCCCAAAUAGCAAAUAAUUAAUAUGCCCACAUAACACACGUGUUUUGAUAAAUAACUGUCUAUCAUGUGUCCAUAAGCCUAUAAUUGUGCAAUAACACAGUUGAUUACCAUAAAAAUACAUAUAUAAUUAAUAAACUUAACUCAAGCCAAGUGGUGAGGUCCAUUCA